UGGGGAAUUUUGGACAAUGGGGGCAACCCUGAUCCAGCCAUCCCGCGUGUGCGAUGAAGGCCUUCGGGUUGUAAAGCACUUUUGGCAGGGAAGAAACAGCCUGGGCUAAUAUCCCGGGCGACUGACGGUACCUGCAGAAUAAGCACCGGCUAACUACGUGCCAGCAGCCGCGGUAAUACGUAGGGUGCAAGCGUUAAUCGGAAUUACUGGGCGUAAAGCGUGCGCAGGCGGUUCGGAAAGAAAGUUGUGAAAUCCCAGGGCUUAACCUUGGAACUGCACUUUUAACUACCGGGCUAGAGUACGUCAGAGGGGGGUAGAAUUCCACGUGUAGCAGUGAAAUGCGUAGAGAUGUGGAGGAAUACCGAUGGCGAAGGCAGCCCCCUGGGAUGAUACUGACGCUCAUGCACGAAAGCGUGGGGAGCAAACA
rnacentral:rRNA from 1 species